GACAGAGGGUGCAAACGUUGUUCGGAAUUACUGGGCGUAAAGCGUGUGUAGGCGGCCACGUAAGUCGGAUGUGAAAGCCCCAGGCUCAACCUGGGAAGUGGCACUCGAUACUGCGUGGCUUGAGUAUCGGAGAGGUUGGUGGAAUUCUCGGGUGUAGAGGUGAAAUUCGUAGAUAUCGAGAGGAACACCGGUGGCGAAGGCGGCCAACUGGACGAAUACUGACGCUGAGACACGAAAGCGUGGGGAGCAAACAGG
rnacentral:rRNA from 1 species